UAUAAGCCUAUUUAAUUUCCCUCACGAGUUCGUUUGUUUAUAUAAUCAUUGAAAACAGUGCAGGUGAAGAGAUCGGUAUUUUGGCGCGAAUGACAGGACACCGGAAGAACUACCAAGAUAGUGAGUUGAGAUUGAGGGCAAGCCUUUCCAGCGCAGGACAAUGGGAGGAGUAGGACAAUCAGGGCCAGAGACUGCUGAAACUGCUGAACCAUGCACGGCUUGGCCCCGUCUCCUCAUCACCAUAGAGUCAUUACAGAUUUAAUGUUCUCCAGACCAUUCUGCACUGUUAAUAGUUUACUAAACGUACAGUUGUGAUUGCUGCAAGAUGUGCUGUAUUGUCUUUGGGGUAAAUAGAGUCAAAGAAACAGUUCAGUACUAACUGUAAUGGAAAUGAUCAUUAUAAAACUUAUUUUUAAUGUGCAUUAAUAUUUCAUUUUAAAUGUUCUACUAGACAAAAAUGUGUUUUUAGUGUUUAUAAAUUGCUUUGAUAUUAAAAAUAGCA